CAGCAGUAGGCGAUACUGGACUUGUCUGACCUCGCCUGCCUCUCACAGGCGGCAGCCGGGAGUCCCAACAGUGAAACUACUAUGGCGUGUUUGUUGCACAUUAAGCUAACAGAAUAUCAUAGAUAAAAUUUUAGCACGAGUAAUUAUGACCGUGAGAAAAUUACGAUCAUUCUUUAUUGAACAGCUCUCGUAUAUCGCACUUGUGUGAAGUACCAUUUUUCUGAAGCUGGUGCUUGCAAUAUUUUCCCAUUUACUUUUAAGGCUUAUUCAGUGCUCAAUUUUCCUGAAUAUAUUGUUCCACAACGGCUGUUCAAAUCAGCACCUGUAACCUGCGGCAAAGCUGCUGCUGCAGUUUGACGUGAGAGGCUCUAGGGAGGCCAUGCCGACAUGAGGGAAGUCUCCGUCCCGGCUCUAGAGUGAGGCUGGUUACCGCAAGUCCGACCCCCGUUCCUAUUUCUGCCAGUGUAACACUGCUGACAUGGCACAGUACGAAGGCCAGCCUUUCGCAGUGGUGACCCAGAUUGCGCCGUGUCGGAGUCCAGCGCGCACCACUUCUCGAGUCUGCGAAAUCAGAAACAGUGUCCCGUCACGUCGGGGCCGAGUCCAGCAACCGUAAAUACUGCUCGCCCCACUCGUGCGGCGUCUGUAAUCGUCUGCAGCCAGCUCAGAGACACACCACGGUAGUUGUCGACCUGAAAGGAGUUGUCUGGCCCACUGCUACUAGAGGUCACUUCCGCUAACUGUGGGCGUGUGCUCAGUCUCGGUGCUGCCCUAGUCCCGAUGCUGCUGGGAAUCGAAUAAGUGCCUUCCAGGUGGAGACUGUCUGCCGGCCGACUGACGUUGGUGCCAUAUCCUACGCCGGAGUCCACGGUUCGUCUGUGCACUCGGCUGCUCCCUGCACUAGGCCCAUUUGAGGCUGUUAACUGGUCACACACCUGUGAUGACCGGAGUGACCACCUUAGAAGAGAGGCCAGCAUCACUGUGUGCCUGCCACCUGCCCAGACCGGCGUCGCUCUACACUCGCCGAGGUGCCGUCAUCGUUUCUUCGGUCGCUGCCCGUGCGGCUGGUGACUCGAUCCUGCCGGCGCUUGCUACUGUCACUCGCCGAGUUAAGCACGCACCUCUGUCCGGAGCCGGUCUGCUCCGCCGGGUACCGACCUCUGUGAGGUGAUGUUUUCACUGCUGUACGACGUGUAAUGAAUAAAUUAGCUGUCACUCUCUCACAGCUUCUACGACUUUUCGAUAGCUGUCCAUCUGUGUCCACGCGCCUGCAGCCUGACCAGAAAUCCUGCAUUGUCACCGACACGUGAGCUGUCACGACACCGCAGUAAUAUUUGUUACUCACUGUAGCUGCAGUGCUCACUAGUUAAUCCUAUAAGAAAAUGAGGUUGACACAAAAUUAGACAAAACCCCUAAUCUUCAGGUCAACACAGUGAGAGAUACUUAAAAAUGCAAAGCAUGCUGUACAGACCAUCCAGACUAGUUGGUUUACACAAUCAUUACUUUUUGACUUAUUAUCAAAUUAGACCCUUAGAAAUUUUGCGCUCAUUAUUUGUUUGUGUGUGACUGUUAAUAUUUCUCAACUGAAAAGUCAUUCGUGGUUAGUAAAACGAGUGAACUUGAAGUGAACUGUGCAAUUUACAGCCACAACACUUGGAGUAAAAAAACUUUCCCUGUCUUGGUUUCUGAAUGGUGUUUUAUAUUUUGAUGCAAAAGUAUACAACAUCUGAUAAUGGCAGACAGGAAAUCAAAAUUUCCAGAUUUUUAAAACCAAAGUUAAAAAGUGUCUCAUCAACCAUUCCUGCAAUUUAUGUCCAUAUAUGCACUUGAAGAUGUAAAUUUUGAAUGUCUGUUUGCACCUGACAUUUCUAGACUUUUCCAGUAGGGCUAUAUAGUGAGCCAAUAGUAGUCCAUCUAAAGUUACAACAGUGUUUGAACGCAGCUGGGUGGUAGUGGAAAAGCAGUGCCUUUUUUUACCCAAAUUAAUUCCUUUAUUCUCCUGAUGCAAGCAGACAUUUGUAAAGUAAUUUCUGUGAUUGUGGGUAGGUUAUCACCAGUCAUAAUUUGUUGUUAGUAUCCUUUACAGAAGUAGCUUACUGCAGCUGUUACUGCCCACUAAUAAUUUGACUUACUGCACUACCUGUAAUGCUUCUCACAAUGGAUUUACAAAGCACAACAUGUGAAUGAAUAUUAGUCUAUGUGACAUUAGAACUUAAAGAAUGUCUUUCAAUUUCAGAGAAGCCUAUAAGCAACAUUAUUUAUUACGAAACGAGUUUAACAUGUCGACUGCAGUGCAUCCCCUGGCGGCGCAGCAGAGGUGCCUGCUGUGGCCACUGGCGGCCACACGGCAGUUAACGUGUCAAUUCUCACACAGCUUGUCCGAUACAAUUGUUUUCUUUCUUUCAGAAAUGAAUGUUCCAUCAAUCAACCAGCUAUUACUGAGAAUUACAUAUUUCAGUUCUGGUGAUUGCCUUCUGUCCAUUGGGGACUGCUGACAGGAUUAUUGUAUACCUUGGGAUACAUUAAAUUUCUGAACACAUAUGAGGACUUUGCUGGAACACAGGAGUCUGUGGUGCCAUAGAUUGCAUACAACUUUGACCAGCCGCAAAGUAUCUCGGGCAAAUAGUUUUGGGACCUGGAUCGCUUAGCGCUCAUUUCAGACGAGCUGUUUCUGUAGACGGUGACUAGAUAAAAUUAAUGACAUGCACAAAAAUACACAGCAUGGAUGGGAACCAGGGAAUAAAAUGCUGUCAUAUGGUGCACCUCCUAUAACUACCAUAGUUGGUGUGUUCCUCAGUUAGCUAUCUGGGAUUUAUCCGCUGAUUGUGCAGCUGACCCUAAGUGCAGGUGAGCAGUGCAAAAGGUGAUGGAGAAACAUCUGAGAUCAUUUUAGGAGAUACGGAAACUAGAAAGGUCUGCGACAAGUGGAUCAGUAGCCACGAAGAAAAGAGCUGUGUACCGGGACAGGCUUCAAUUCCUUAAUAGCAUGGAGGUUGAAAAGAAAAUGUUUUCCUAACAGUGUGCUACAGGAACUCGUUAAGGAAAGACUUGAAGAUCGACAGACUUCUUCCAAAUUUAUCGACUGAGGACGAAACUGGUUUGUUCCUCAAAUCCAUGGCAGCAACAGUAAAAAAAUUUAGACCCAACCUUAUUUGCAAAGCCAAAAAACAGAUUUGAAAUACUGUGAUGGACAUAUAAACCAUAAAUCAGAGAGAUCAAGGAUAUGGCAACAACUCCACAUUUUGGAACGCAAACAGCAGCCAUCCUGCUUCUAUCCAAAGUGCUGACAGUGAGCAAGGACCUAGGAACUAUGACAAUACUGUUACUGCUGCAAACUUUGAUACCUAUAAAACACAUCGCAAAUCCAGUACCACACCAGAACGACUACAGUAUUGCACAAUCAAACAUUCUCUGCCACCACCCUCUAUUUUCUGGGAUGGUUACUAAGGGUAGGCCAUGGCCAGUAGCCUAGUUCAUUAUAUUAUAUUUUACCAUUUGUGCCAAAUUUCUGCGUCUGGUUACAUAAACGUUAUGGAACUGUCAGUAGUAGUAUCAUAGAUACACUUUAAGAAAAUGAAAUGAGUUGCACUCCGCUGUGAAAACCCACUGUCAUAAAAGGUUUUUUUUUUGAAGUGGAUGACAAUUGUAUGUUGUGUGUUGGAGUAAUUGUUGUAACAAAUGUGAUUUUUUUAAUAUGACAUGUUAAA